rfam:Rattus norvegicus chromosome 7, whole genome shotgun sequence.
CCCGCUGAAUUUAAACAUAUUAGUCAGCAGAGGAAAAGAAACUAACCAGUAUUCCCUCAGUAAUGGUGAAUGAACAGGGGAGAGCCCAGCGCCGAAUCCCCGCCGCAUGCCGUGGCUGGUGAAAUGUGGCGUAUGGAAGACCCACUCCCUGGCGCCGCUCGUGGGGGCCCAAGUCCUUCUGAUGGAGGCCCUGCCCUUGGAUGGCGUGAGGCCGGUAGCGGGCCCAGGCAGAUCUUCCUGAGUUGGGUUGCUUGGGAAUGCAGCCCAAAGCGGGUGGUAAACUCCAUUUAAGGCUAAAUACCGGCACGAGACCGAUACCCAACAAGUACAGUAAGGAAAAGUGGAAAAGAACUUUGAAGAGAGUUCAAGAGGGCGUGAAACCGUUAAGAGGUAAACAGGUGUGGUCAGCGCAGUCCGCCCAGAGGAUUCAACCCAGAGGCGCGCGU